rnacentral:misc_RNA from 1 species
GAUGAAGAACGUAGCGAAAUGCGAUACGUAAUGUGAAUUGCAAAUUCAGUGAAUCAUCGAGUCUUUGAACGCACAUUGCGCCCCCUGGUAUUCCGGGGGGCAUGCCUGUCCGAGCGUCAUUGCUGCCCUCAAGCACGGCUUGUGUGUUGGGCCCCGUCCUCCGAUCCCGGGGGACGGGCCCGAAAGGCAGCGGCGGCACCGCGUCCGGUCCUCGAGCGUAUGGGGCUUUGUCACCCGCUCUGUAGGCCCGGCCGGCGCUUGCCGAUCAACCCAAAUUUUUAUCCAGGUUGACCUCGGAUCAGGUAGGGAUACCCGCUGAACUUAAGCAUAUCAAUAAGCGGAGGAA